GAGCAGACGUGAUUUAGCGGCGGUGAACCACAGCGAUGAUUUCAGGAAGAUGACAUCCCUGUUAUACAUUUGAUGGCAAAACUGCAUCAGUGGAGGAGACGUGUCAGGGCCAAGUGGUUAAAGUACAAACAACAAUGGCCUCGCUCCACUGGCAGAGGAUUUGGGGACGGUUCAGAACAACUCCACAGAAAACCUUCCUAAGUAAAUCUGUAUGAUAUGAUUUAUAUCAGUACAUCUAAACAUACGUCUGGCCAUCUUCAGCCUGAUCAGAGGUCUAACCAGCCAGAAGAAGCAUAAACACCAGUGCUGAUGAGCAGGACCUUUAUUGGAAGUGAGCCACAGUUAGACGUGUGUGACUCUGCUGCCCUCUAGUGGCUCCAAACACACUCUGCAGCUGCACCGGCGGUCAAAACCCUUGAUUUCUCUUGCAUCAUAAAGAGAUGGGA